GAUGAAGAACGUAGCGAAAUGCGAUAAGUAGUGUGAAUUGCAGAAUUCAGUGAAUCAUCGAAUCUUUGAACGCACAUUGCGCCCCUUGGUAUUCCAUGGGGCAUGCCUGUUCGAGCGUCAUUUGUACCUUCAAGCUUUGCUUGGUGUUGGGUGUUUGUCUCGCCUUUUCGUGUAGACUCGCCUUAAAAUAAUUGGCAGCCGGCGUAUUGAUUUCGGAGCGCAGUACAUCUCGCGCUUUGCACUCAUAACGACAGCGUCCAAAAGUACAUUUUACACUCUUGACCUCGGAUCAGGUAGGGAUACCCGCUGAACUUAAGCAUAUCAAUAAGCGGAGGA
rnacentral:misc_RNA from 1 species